rnacentral:rRNA from 1 species
CCUACGGGUGGCAGCAGUGAGGAAUAUUGGUCAAUGGACGAGAGUCUGAACCAGCCAAGUAGCGUGAAGGAUGACUGCCCUAUGGGUUGUAAACUUCUUUUAUAUGGGAAUAAAAUGUUCCACGUGUGGGAUUUUGUAUGUACCAUAUGAAUAAGGAUCGGCUAACUCCGUGCCAGCAGCCGCGGUAAUACGGAGGAUCCGAGCGUUAUCCGGAUUUAUUGGGUUUAAAGGGAGCGUAGGUGGAUUGUUAAGUCAGUUGUGAAAGUUUGCGGCUCAACCGUAAAAUUGCAAUUGAAACUGGCAGUCUUGAGUACAGUAGAGGUAGGCGGAAUUCGUGGUGUAGCGGUGAAAUGCUUAGAUAUCACGAAGAACUCCGAUUGCGAAGGCAGUUCACUAGACUGCAACUGACACUGAGGCUCGAAAGUGUGGGUAUCAAACAGGAUUAGAUACCCGAGUAGUC